UAGGUUAACGAGGCGAACCGGGGGAACUGAAACAUCUAAGUACCCCGAGGAAAAGAAAUCAACCGAGAUUCCCCCAGUAGCGGCGAGCGAACGGGGAGCAGCCCAGAGUCUGAAUCAGCUUGUGUGUUAGUGGAACGGUCUGGAAAGUCCGACGGUACAGGGUGAUAGUCCCGUACACCAAAAUGCACAGGCUGUGAACUCGAAGAGUAGGGCGGGACACGUGGUAUCCUGUCUGAAUAUGGGGGGACCAUCCUCCAAGGCUAAAUACUCCUGACUGACCGAUAGUGAACCAGUACCGUGAGGGAAAGGCGAAAAGAACCCCGGCGAGGGGAGUGAAAAAGAACCUGAAACCGUGUACGUACAAGCAGUGGGAGCACCUUUAUGGUGUGACUGCGUACCUUUUGUAUAAUGGGUCAGCGACUUAUAUUCUGUAGCAAGGUUAACCGUAUAGGGGAGCCGCAGGGAAACCGAGUCUUAACUGGGCGUUAAGUUGCAGGGUAUAGACCCGAAACCCGGUGAUCUAGCCAUGGGCAGGUUGAAGGUUGGGUAACACUAACUGGAGGACCGAACCGACUAAUGUUGAAAAAUUAGCGGAUGACUUGUGGCUGGGGGUGAAAGGCCAAUCAAACCGGGAGAUAGCUGGUUCUCCCCGAAAGCU
rnacentral:rRNA from 1 species